AACGAACGCUGGCGGCAGGCUUAACACAUGCAAGUCGAGCGCACCUUCGGGUGAGCGGCGGACGGGUGAGUAACGCGUGGGAACGUGCCCUUUUCUGCGGAAUAGCCUCUGGAAACGGAGAGUAAUACCGCAUACGCCCUUCGGGGGAAAGAUUUAUCGGAGAAGGAUCGGCCCGCGUUAGAUUAGAUAGUUGGUGGGGUAAUGGCCUACCAAGUCUACGAUCUAUAGCUGGUUUGAGAGGAUGAUCAGCCACACUGGGACUGAGACACGGCCCAGACUCCUACGGGAGGCAGCAGUGAGGAAUCUUGGACAAUGGGGGAAACCCUGAUCCAGCCAUGCCGCGUGAGUGAUGAAGGCCUUAGGGUCGUAAAGCUCUUUCGCCUGGGAUGAUAAUGACAGUACCAGGUAAAGAAACCCCGGCUAACUCCGUG
rnacentral:rRNA from 1 species